UUCAAUACUGGGCAAAGCAGGGGAAAUCCUGUGACGCAAAACUAGAGGGCCUUUAAAAUGGUAGCCAGGUGCAUAA
rnacentral:ncRNA from 1 species